ACGGGCGUAAGGAUGGAAUUGGGAGAUGGUGGAAUGCCUUAGAAAAGUUUUUGGUCACUAAGUGGGUCCUGCAUAUGUGGCAGGUGGGCCUGCACGUGUGGAUUGGGGCAAGCACUACGUGCGACGAUGGGAGACAGCAGUUGAAUUCCUAUAAAGGGCACUGCACGUGCGGCGUUGGGCCACUGUAGGUGUGGGAAGGGCAUCUGCACGUGCAGCCAGUAGCUCCACAUGUGCAAGACUCCAUGUUUUCUGUCUCGAUUUUUGGACCAAAACUCUCAAAUCUGAUCUCCUCUCUCUUAUUUCCUUCAUCACUUUUUUCUUUUCUUUCUCUUUCUAAACUAUUUUUCUCUCACCUUUCUCUAUCCAACACUCCAAACCCUUGCAUUUCUUCCAAUCCAACAAGAUCCACCAACAUUUUGCUAUUAGUUCUUAAAGCCAAAAUGGAGAGCUCGUCGAUGGCUACUUAGUGCCAGGUGGAUAUCAAAUUCCGACGCCAUCAAUUUUGGGAAGGAGGGGUUUGCUCUUUUUUAGCUUUUGUGAUAAUAAUUUUCUUGUUUCUCUUCAAUACACUCUCAUAGAUAGAUAUGUGGUAUUUUAUAUUACAUGAAAAACUUUGAUUUUUGGCAAGAGAUUUUGAAAAUCAUGUAGAUAAAAGUUAGGGUUUCAAAUUAAAGGGUUUAAACUCAUGUUUUAUUGUUGAUUAUGAAAGUUUUAUGCUAACAGAACAUGUUUAAGGAGAUUAAAGUAAAAAGCCCUAAUUUUUAGAUUGAUAUCCAUGAAAAAUGAGAAUAAUUGAUGAUUGUAUAAUUAUUGAGCCAUGUUGAUUAUUGUGAUUUAGAAAGGUUAUAUGAGUAAAGAUAGAAAUAACGGUUGACAUGAAUUUGGUUUAUAUCGUAAUUGUUAACAAGUGAAAUUAUUGGGAUUAAUUAUAGAAAUUAUAUGAGAUUAUGAAUGAUGUGGGCCGAAAGCAAGCACAUUUAGUCCACUUAAGUUACAUUUAUAUUCUUGAAAUAUGAUUAUUUGGCAGAUAUGAUGCGUUUCGUGUACAUGUAUAGGUUUGGUGAGCAACAUGCAAUUUCAAGCUAAAAGUGGCACACAAGAAGAUCCUUCACUUGAGCAACAAAAGUUCACUGCCCCGCCAGCCCACUGCACAUAUGGCCAGCCACCAACACACGUGCGGUCCACUACUGCUCGAGCAGCCAAGUUCCAUUCUAGAUUUUGCAAGAUAAGCCAAAAAGGAAGUGAAGACCAACAUAUCUACCGAUUGAAUCGUUUUACCUUCAAAGUUCUUUUUGGAUAUUCAUCUUCUUGUCUCCAUUCUUGAGGACUAAAUGGUGUGACUCCGUCCAAGUGACAAGGCGGUGAAGAUUUUUUUGAAUGGAGCAUGUGGGCUCAUUGGAUAUUAUUUGUUAAAGCUCAAGAGCUAAUAUAUUUUUGGAUUAAAUGUCCACCUUUCUUGUGUAAUCAAGGGGUUGCCCUUGAAACUUGUACGCCAUUAGAGCAUCUUUACUUUUGAUUUUUCUAAUUUGUGAACUAUAAUUUGUAUUUGAGCACAAGAUGUAAUAGUUUAAUAUAGUUCAAUGAGAACAAGCUUAAAAUAAGGAAAAGACAAUAUUUUCCUUAAAGCAUUUUCUUA